AGGUUAGGAAAUGGUUGUGAUGUGUUUGUUUUCAAGUGGACAUACCAGGAGGAUGAUUGUCGUGGUGGUUGUUGUAGCUGGAGUUGUGGUUGUUGGAACUGCUGUUGUGGUUGUUGGAGCUGCUGUUGUGGUUGUUGGAGCUGCUGUUGUGGUUGUUGGAGCCGCUGUUGUGGUUGUUGGAGCCGAUGUUGUGGUUGUUGGAGCCGCUGUUGUGGUUGUUGGAGCCGCUGUUGUGGUGGUUGGAGCCGCUGUUGUGGUGGUUGGAGCCGCUGUUUGGUGGUUGGAGCCGCUGUUGUGGUGGUUGGAGCCGCUGUUGUGGUGGUUGGAGCCGCUGUUGUGGUUGUUGGAGCCGCUGUUGUGGUUGUUGGAGCCGCUGUUGUGGUUGUUGGAGCCGCUGUUUGUAGUUGUUGGAGCCGCUGUUGUGGUUGUUGGAGCUGCUGUUUGGUUGUUGGAGGCGCGGUUGUGGUUGUUGGAGCUGCUGUUGUAGUUGUUGGAGCUGCUGUUGUGGUAGUCAGAAUUGCUGUUGUGGUUGUUGAAGGCGCUGUUGUGGUUGUUGGAGCUGCUGUUGUGGUUGUUGGAGCUGCUGUUGUGGUUGUUGGAGCCGCUGUUGUGGUUGUUGGAGCCGCUGUUGUGGUUGUUGGAGCCGCUGUUGUGGUGGUUGGAGCCGCUGUUGUGGUGGUUGGAGCCGCUGUUGUGGUGGUUGGAGCCGCUGUUGUGGUGGUUGGAGCCGCUGUUGUGGUGGUUGGAGCCGCUGUUUGUGGUGGUUGGAGCCGCUGUUGUGGUUGUUGGAGCCGCUGUUGUGGUUGUUGGAGCCACGUUGUGGUUGUUGGAGCCGCUGUUGUGGUUGUUGGAGCCGCUGUUGUGGUUGUUGGAGCCGCUGUUGUGGUUGUUGGAGCCGCUGUUGUGGUUGUUGGAGCUGCUGUUGUGGUUGUUGGAGGCGCGGUUGUGGUUGUUGGAGCUGCUGUUGUAGUUGUUGGAGCUGCUGUUGUGGUAGUCAGAAUUGCUGUUGUGGUUGUUGAAGGCGCUGUUGUGGUUGUUGGAGCUGCUGUUGUGGUUGUUGGAGCUGCUGUUGUGGUUGUUGGCCGCUGUUGUGGUUGUUGGAGCCGCUGUUGUGGUGGUUGGAGCCGCUGUUGUGGUGGUUGGAGCCGCUGUUGUGGUUGUUGGAGCCGCUGUUGUGGUUGUUGGAGCCGCUGUUGUGGUUGUUGGAGCCGCUGUUGUGGUUGUUGGAGCCGCUGUUGUGGUUGUUGGAGCUGCUGUUGUGGUUGUUGGAGCCGCUGUUGUAGUUGUUGGAGCUGCUGUUGUGGUAGUCAGAAUUGCUGUUGUGGUUGUUGGAGCCGCUGUUGUGGUUGUUGGAGCCGCUGUUGUGGUGGUUGGAGCCGCUGUUGUGGUGGUUGGAGCCGCUGUUGUGGUGGUUGGAGCCGCUGUUGUGGUGGUUGGAGCCGCUGUUGUGGUUGUUGGAGCCGCUGUUGUGGUGGUUGGAGCCGCUGUUGUGUGGUGUUGGAGCCGCUGUUGUGGUGGUUGGAGCCGCUGUUGUGGUGGUUGGAGCCGCUGUUGUGGUUGUUGGAGCCGCUGUUGUGGUUGUUGGAGCCGCUGUUGUGGUUGUUGGAGCCGCUGUUGUGGUUGUUGGAGCUGCUGUUGUGGUUGUUGGAGCUGCUGUUGUGGUUGUUGGAGCUGCUGUUGUGGUUGUUGGAGGCGCGGUUGUGGUUGUUGGAGCUGCUGUUGUAG
rnacentral:lncRNA from 1 species